rnacentral:rRNA from 1 species
CUACGGGCGGCAACAGUGAGGAAUAUUGCACAAUGGGGGGAACCCUGAUGCAGCAACGCCGCGUGGAGGAUGACGCAUUUCGGUGUGUAAACUCCUUUUAUAUGUCAAUAAAAUGACGGUAGCAUAUGAAUAAGCACCGGCUAACUCCGCGCCAGCAGCCGCGGUAAUACGGAGGGUGCAAGCGUUACUCGGAAUCACUGGGCGUAAAGGACGCGUAGGCGGGUUGGAAAGUCAGGUGUGAAAUCCUACAGCUUAACUGUAGAACUGCACUUGAAACUUCUAAUCUAGAGUAUGGGAGGGGGAGAUGGAAUUAGUGGUGUAGGGGUAAAAUCCGUAGAUAUCACUAGGAAUACCUAAAGCGAAGGCGAUCUCCUGGAACAUUACUGACGCUAAGGCGUGAAAGCGUGGGGAGCAAACAGGAUUAGAUACCCUCGUAGUC